GAGUUGGUAGCUUAGUGGUAAAGUGCUUACGGUGUAUGUAUGUUGUCCUGGGUUCAAUCCCCAGCUUCUCCC